rnacentral:rRNA from 1 species
AUUGAACGCUGGCGGCAGGCCUAACACAUGCAAGUCGAACGGAGUGGAGGACGGGUGCGUAAUGUCUGGGAAACUGCCUGAUGGAGGGGGAUAACUACUGGAAAAGGUAGCUAAUACCGCAUACUAUCAGAUGGGCCUAGGUCGGAUUAGCUAGUUGGGGGGGUAAAGGCCUACCAAGGCCACGAUCCGUAACUGGUCUAAGAGGAUGAUCAGUCACACUGGAACUGAGACACGGUCCAGACUCCUACGGUAGGCAGCAGUGGGGAAUAUUCGACAAUGGGCGAAAGCCUGAUCCAGCCAUGCCGCGUGUGUGAAGAAGGUCUUCGGAUUGUAAAGCACUUUAAGUUGGGAGGCGUUACCAACAGAAUAAGCACCGGCUAACUUCGUGCCAGCAGCCGCGGUAAUAC